GUCGAGGGGCAGCACGAAUUAGCUUGCUAAUUUGGUGGCGACCGGCGCACGGGUGCGUAACGCGUAUGCAACCUACCUUAUACAGGGGUAUAGCCCGGAGAAAUUCGGAUUAAUCCCCCAUAGUACUGAGCCACCGCAUGGUGAUUUAGUUAAAGCUUCGGCGGUAUAAGAUGGGCAUGCGUCCUAUUAGCUAGAUGGUAAGGUAACGGCUUACCAUGGCUACGAUAGGUAGGGGGCCUGAGAGGGAGGUCCCCCACACUGGUACUGAGACACGGACCAGACUCCUACGGGAGGCAGCAGUGAGGAAUAUUGGUCAAUGGGCGCAAGCCUGAACCAGCCAUGCCGCGUGCAGGAAGAAUGCCCUCUGGGUUGUAAACUGCUUUUAUUUGGGAAUAAACCUUUCUACGUGUAGAAAGCUGAAGGUACCAAAUGAAUAAGCACCGGCUAACUCCGUGCCAGCAGCCGCGGUAAUACGGAGGGUGCAAGCGUUAUCCGGAAU
rnacentral:rRNA from 1 species